rnacentral:tmRNA from 1 species
GGGGGCGUAAAGGUUUCGACGGGGAUUUUGAAGUAUGAGCAGCGAGUAGCGGUGCGGAACCGCUUUAACAAAGCCGCAUCUGUUAUAAAUGCAAAAGAAAACAAUUCUGUCAACUAUAAUAGGAUGGCAGUUGCUGCUUAAUUAACUGGCAGCCGUCCGAUCCGGAAUUACCGCGAUUCGGUGAGGGCGUUAUUUAGCGGUGAACGUGCAUCAUUUGUUUUUCUUUUUGAGAUGAUCAUGAACUAAAAAAGAUACCGGGACAUGGCGUUUGUCGUUUGAUGCUUUUCCCGGGAAUUUUUUAAACAAACGACUGCACUCGGAGAAGCUUAUAUGGAUGGAUUUUCGGACAGGAGUUCGACUCUCCUCGCCUCCACCA